UACGUAGGGUGCAAGCGCUGUCCGGAAUUAUUGGGCGUAAAGAGCUCGUAGGCGGUUUGUCGCGUCUGCUGUGAAAACCCGAGGCUCAACCUCGGGCCUGCAGUGGGUACGGGCAGACUAGAGUGCGGUAGGGGGAGAUUGGAAUUCCUGGUGUAGCGGUGGAAUGCGCAGAUAUCAGGAGGAACACCAAUGGCGAAGGCAGAUCUCUGGGCCGUAACUGACGCUGAGGAGCGAAAGCAUGGGGAGCGAACAGG
rnacentral:rRNA from 1 species